GGAGAACUGCGAGGAGCCAACCGUAGUACGAGAGGACUGGGUUGGGCUAACCUAUGGUGUACCGGUUGUUAUACCAAUAGCAGCGCCGGGCAGCUAAGUUAGUAUGGAAGAACUGCUACGCCGCGGGAAAUCCUUCUCUAUACAAGUUCUCGGACGAGGUUUUUGAACAGAACUUCGAUAGGCGAGAGGUGUAAACACCGCGAGCUGUGAAACGAUCUCGUACUAAAUG
rnacentral:ncRNA from 1 species